AGAGACGGGGUUUUACCAUGUUGACCAGGCUGAUCUAGAACUCCUGACCUCAGGUGAUCUACCGGUCUCGGCCUCCCAAAGUGCUGGGAUUACAGGCCACCCACCCAGGCCACCGCGCCCGGCCUCAAAAUACUUUUUUCCUUAGCUGAUUUUAUCGAGUGGCUAUGUGCCUAAGGGAGUGUUCUAAGCAGACGUUAGUUAGGACCCAGAACGUGGGAAGUACUGGUUUCCAGAUCAAUUUGGUGGUGAUCGUAAACCGAUUCAAAUCUCUAAAUCCCAAUUGCACGCCGACGUUACGGAACCAAAAACGCUGACGCCCACAUUUCUGGGCGGACGCACAAGUAUGUUACGAUGGCUCGAUUGCUUUUGCCUAGCGGAAACCAUUCACUAAGGACCGAGCACCAAAUAACCAAGGAAAAGGAAGUGAGUUAAGGACGUACUCGUCUUGGUGAGAGCGUGAGCUGCUGAGAUUUGGGAGUCUGCGCUGGGCCCGCUUGGAGUUCUGAGCCGAUGGAAGAGUUCACUCAUGUUUGCACCCGCGGUGAUGCGUGCUUUUCGCAAGAACAAGACUCUCCGCUAUGGAGUCCCCAUGUUGAGUCUCACUCUGUCACCAGGCUGGAGUACAAUGGCGCAGUCUUGGCUCACUGCAACCUCCACCUCCCGGAUUCAAGCGAUUCUCCUGCCUCAGCCUCCCGAACAGCUGGGACUACAGUUGCUGAUUGUUGGAGGUUCUUUUGGUCUUCGUGAGUUUUCUCAAAUCCGAUAUGAUGCUGUGAAGAGUAAAAUGGAUCCUGAGCUUGAAAAAAAACUGAAAGAGAAUAAAAUAUCUUUAGAGUCGGAAUAUGAGGGAAGUAUCUGUUGAAGGGCUACUAUCUUUCCUUGGCCCUUCUCCCUUGUUGGGACUCAAUCUCCAGACUAUCUCCCCAGAGAAUCUUGUCAAGGCUUGGCUUUAAGCUUUGUUGGGAAAAUAAAAGACUCCAAGUUUGAUGACUGGAAGAAUAUUCGAGGACCCAGGCCUUGGGAAGAUCCUGACCUCCUCCAAGGAAGAAAUCCAGAAAGCCUUAAGACUAAGACAACUUGACUCUGCUGAUUCUUUUUUCCUUUUUUUUUUUUUUAAAUAAAAAUGUUAUUAACUGGA